rnacentral:tRNA from 1 species
GUGGUUGGUGAGAUAGCUCAGCGGUUAAGAGCACCGACUGUUCUUCCAAAGGUCCUGAGUUCAAAUCCCAGCAACCACA